AGCCGGGUGGGAUGGGGCGGACCGAUGGGCGGGGUUGACGGGAGAGGGCGGGCGGAGUUCCCGGGAACUGCGCCCCCCACACCCCGCACCCCUCCGGGCCCCUCCGGGCCCCUCCGGCCGGCUGUUGAGUCACGAGAACGCUGAGGCCCCGGGUUCGGCGGCUGCGGCAGCGCCUUGCGAACAGUGGAGAAGGCUUGUAUCCAUGACUCGGAUAUGCCACCUGUAAUCUGCAAAUAUAUCUCCUCGGGCAAAUACACCUCCUGUGUGAUACUGUAUUCUACUUGCAAGUUUUGGGGAGAGAACUGCACUGACCCUGGCUGUGGUGAUACUAGAAGCAGCCACCCCCUUCCACCUGGAAAGUCCCCCAGACAUGUUUGGAGUGUGGAAAAUCACCAUGAACUUGCAGCAUUUCCUUGGGUGGGGGGAAACUCCACACAAGAAAACCAAGGAGCUAUAAAUAAACUUUAUCUCAGCACAGAGUUUUAUUUUCCUUUUUCAAGACAGUCAUGAGGUUGGUGGUGAUUCCGUUCAAGUCUUUUACCAGCCAGGCACCAACCGAGGCAGACCCGGUUGACAGGCGGCAGGCUCUCGGUUCCAGUGGGGGUUCCUGGCAGUUCUCCACCCACUGGGGGAGGCAGCCCUUGGCCAGUGUCCCCCAGUUUAGGAAAAUGGCAAGAUCUGCAGAAAGGACUUGGAAGGAGUGCCAUCACUGCCUGAUUCUGCAUACCCUGACCUUGCCCUGCCUUUUGCUCUCUCUGCCAUUGUCUUACCCCUCUUUGCUGAAAAUAGAUUAAGUGUCAACAUGACAUGGGAGGGAGUUCCAGCUUCUCUCUAAUGACAGAAAGUGAAACGUGACAAACGUCUCUUAAGAUAACAAGUCAUCUCUUGCAGUAACAGGGUCUUAGUUCAUAAAGAGUGAUAAACUCUUGUGAAAUUCCUUUUCCCUUGUUAGCUCAGACGGUGAGAACAGUCUAGUGACAUAGCGGAGGGGGGAGGAAAUGACUUUGCCAAGAUCAAGCAGGUGGGGAAGCCACGGAACUCUUAGCACCCAUGUCCUCGCUGCCUCCAUCCUGCCGCUUGGCGGGAGCCGUGAUGAUGUUUGUAAGUCAGUGCAGCGCUCCACCUGCCAAGCCUCCUUUUCCUCUGUUGUUUUAUCAUCACAGCUGCUUCCAGACUUCUCUCCUUUCUCUGUCCAGCAUCUUGAGAGAAUAGUCUUACACUUUUUGUCAUUCUUACUCAAACCUCAGCUCCGCCAGCCCUGCCUCUGCCCCAGCACCUGGCUUGCUGGGAGGUCACCAAGAACUUACGAAUCACCAUGUACAACGGCCACCUGCACACCUGGCCCUCUUCUGUCUUUCUGCAGCAUUAAUGCCACUGGAAGUAUUUCUCACAACCUCCUCUCUCUUUUUUUGGAAUUUUCUGGGACUGUACUUCUUUGGAAUUCUUUUCCUUCCUGUGAUUUGUCUUUGAAUCCUGAUCUUGGCUUAGCUGCACGGCCUUCUUCUGUCCUGAAACGUUCCACCUUCCCCUUGUUCUUGUCUCGGUGCAUCUUUCUGAACUCCCAGGCUUCAGGUAUCACUCUGAUGGCCAUGCCUGCCCAAUGUAUGCCAUUAGUCCUGACCCCCUCUCUGAACUGGGCGAUGGACAGAGCUACCAGUUGUCUGUCCAAGAGUUCACAGGUAGUAUGUCUAAACCCAGCUCCCUGAGCCGUCAAGUCAUGAUUUCACCCCAUCAACAAACACAAGAUAAACACCUGCCUACUCCAGACACUAGGAAGGGACCAGUGGCAAACCUAGACUGGGUCAGAGCCUGUCCUCAAGGGCUGGAGGUAUAGUUGGAAUGGGGCCAGUGUUGCCAGAGGGUGUUUGGGGGACUGGGUAGGUUUAGUGAAGUAACUUACAGCUUGAGCUAUGUGUCCGAGUCACAAGAUGUGGUGUCGUGGAAAGGACAGAGGAAGCAAAAUAGCUGAAGCCCUCGAAAGCGAGAGAGAAUGACCCGUACAGCUUCAAUGGAGGAGUGACAUGGAAGAAGAGCAUGGCUGGUGGGUCAAGUCUAGGUGAGGACAUCGCGAGAGAAUGAGUGUGGAGGGCUGUAGGGGGCGGCAGCUGACAUCUGUGGCUGUGUGUGUGUGGAGUAGGCGGUGUCUUUCAUAGAGGGUACUUUGCAUAGUACCCUUGGGCUGGAGAGGGGAUGGAGGUAGGGUGGGUUCCUCGCAGGGAAAGUUUAAACAGUGUAAUGUCUAUGCAGACAUGUUCUCAAGAUAGCAUCCACUCGGGGUUUGGUAACUGACAGGUGCUUCCAGACUUCUCUCCUUUCUCUGUCCAGCGUCUUGAGAGAAUAGUCUUAAUCUUUUUGUCUUUCUUACUCAAACUUCAGCUCCCCCAGCCCCUCCUCUGCCCCAGCACCUGACUUGCUGGGAGGUCACUGAGAACUUUGGCAUUGUCUUGGCAUUCUCUAUAAUUGUUCUGGCAAUGGGUUUAGCUGAGCUUAGAGAGGCGUGUGAUGUGUGCGGUGUUUGGUGGCUGGGGGCAACACUGACUAGUUUACGGGGUCCUCCAGUACUUCUGUGAGGUGGGGCGGGGGGUGUAAAUUACUGUCCUUUUGCUUAAUGAUGAGACAAAGGCUCAACCUUGGGUGCAUUUUCUGAAUAAGGACAGCCCAGUUUUCAACACAGAGCUUUCUGGCCCCAGAACAAGUGCUUUUUCCAUUCCAAUUUGGAAUAUAGGAUUCAGAGUGAGUAGAAAAGACCCUGUGGGUAGGGCUGCAGGGAACCAGAGGUAAAGGAAGGGCUCCUGAACUGCAGAAAAUCUUUGUGAUGACAUCUCUGGGGAUUCAGGACUUUUCUAGUGAUGCCGCCCACUAGCAGGAAAGACAGUGCAGCCCUCCUGGAAUUGGCAUGGUGGGCACUGCACAGGGCUUAGGGGUGAGUCUGGUGUCAGGGCAGAACAGUCGGGGACAAAGCUGGGGGUUCAUGUUCAUGGUUGAGGCCUGAAGGGAUGGCGUGGGGUGGUUCACCGAGGGAGCCCCCCCUGGCCUGGUGCUCAUGCAGGGUGUUGAGGCCUUUGGCACGUGCAGCUUCCCCUCCCAGAGGAGACUUGCUUUGGAAAUAAGGUCUGAGGUCGCUCACUCAUUUAUUUAGCACUUACUAUAAGCCAGUGAGUUCUCAGGCCCAGAGUUCACGGUGGUGAGCAACCCAGCAGGCCUGGCCCUUGUGGGUUUGCGGUCUGUGCAGUGAGGCAGACAGUACACCGAUAACUGCACCGUAGCGUUCAACUCCAACCAUAGUAGGAGCUCUGAAAGAAAAAGCACAGUGGAAUGUGUAGCAGGCGGAGCUAGUGCUGGACUCGGAGAUCCAUCUGGUCAGGCCACCCAGUGAGAGCUCCUUCUGCAGAGAUUUGAGGGACUGAGCAAGGGUUAGCCAGGUACAGUCAUCAUGGAAGGGGAGGAGGGCUGUUCAGACAGCAGAAAUGCCCCGAGCAAAGGCCCCGAGGCAGGAAGGAGCUUGAGAGAGAAGCCAUCUGUGGCUGGAACGCCAGGAACCAGGAGUCGGGCGGGUAGGUAGUUAGGAACAGGCUACGUGUGGAUUUGUGGCACCUGUUUAGGAUUUGAUCUUUACCCUCGGAGGAGGGGUUUUACAAAGAUCAUUCUGGCUGCUGUGGGGAAAAUGAGUUCUGUGUUAGAGAGUAUGCGAGGCAGAGUGAUGGGCUGCCAAAGGUCUCCACAUCCUGGUCACCAGAAAGUGUGACUCUUGUCAGGUCACAGAGAAAAGGGAGUUAAGGUUGCCGGUCAGCUGACUAAUAAUGGGGAGUGUAUCUUGAAUUGUUCAGGUGUACCCAGUGUCAUCAUCACUGGGGUCCUUAAGAGCAGAAGAUGGAGAUAAGAGUGAGUCAGAGGGAGCGUGAGGCUGGAGGAAGAAUCACAGAUGUGCAUCAUUGCUGACUGGAGAUGGACUUAAGGGAGCUGUAAAGCAAGCAGUGCGAUCGGCUUUUAGAAGCUGGAAAAGCCGAGGAAAUUGAGCCCCCCAGCAGCCUCCAGGUGGGAACCAAGCCCACCUUAAUUUUAGCUUGUGAGUCCCCCAUCAGACCGCAACAGACCUGUGAGAUGAGAAAGUGUGUUCUUUUAAGCCACUGAGUUGGUGGUGGUUUGUUCUGGCAGCGACUAGAACUUGCACAGAUGGACAUCUGAAGGACCGUGGGGAGGCACUUAGGGAGCUGUAGUGUGUGGUCCAGGGUUGAGGAGAGCAGGGUGGGACAACCCAGGUCAACCCAGUCACCAAAUUGAUACACUUAUAAUAUCAGAUAACUGUAGGAUUCAACCAGCCAGGAUGUUUGGAAGAUGGGAGCAAGUGGAUUCUUGGACUGCUUCAGUUUCUGGAAAGUAUCUGUUCCUGUUCUCUUGUAACACUGGUUGUGUUCUUUAUAUAAUCACGAUACUAAGGUCAGUCUUCCUCUCCAAUGAGUCAGGAAAACCAUCAGAUUCUUGGAAGAAAUCAGAGCCUAGCAAUUGAGCCAUUUCCAGCAUAGUUUGGUGACUUUGUGAAAUCUGGUAUUGUAUUCUCAGCAUUAAAAUUUGGGGUAAAAAAGGUUUAGGAAUGUUUUGGCCUUGUACUAGUAGGUUGCCGUUAUUCACGAUGCUGACUGUGUUUGAGCAUCACUUCCGUAGGCCUCUGGAAAUCAAGCAUGACCAUAGGCUUAAUCCGUAUCAUGAAGAAAUGUUUUUAAUCUCAUCCCUCCCUUCAGCAACUCUUGUCAGCACUUUUGUCCUUGGCAGCCGGUAAAUCAGGUGGGAAGAGGAAUCUUACAGACACUGCCAUUUCUUCCUUCAGCAUCUGAAAGCACGUGCUCUGAGGUGGCAGGAUUUGCUGGUACUUGGUUUUCACUGUUUCCUUCCACGCCCAGUUACAAUCGGGAGGCACAUCGCUGCCUUCUGAGUGUCCCAGAUGUUUAAGCAUCAUUUAGGAACCCAGCAGCACAUUUCCUUGCUGUUUGUAUAGCUUGAGCUCUUUUAGUUGUGAAUGGAUCGCACCUUUUCCAGCCCACGUCACAGCCCACAAAAGUAUCAUUGCCUGAAUGAAAGCCAACUUCCCUUGUACCAUGAGUUCCCAUCAGUAAACAGAACAGAAGGCUGUUGAGUUCUCCUACCCUGUUACAUACUACAUAUGCUACAAGAAUGGAUUUGUAUUUUCUCUCUAGUAGUCUGUUCAAUUUUAAAACUAAAUACAUGUUGAAACACUCAAGUGAUAACAAUCGCUCUGCUGUAUCAUGUGCCAUUGAUAAGAUGUGACUUCCAACAGAGUAAUUUAAUAAAGAAAUUUUGUCAGGAGCUUGUUUUUUUUUGGUUACAGCAGUUAAAUUGGGCAUUAAAUUUGGAUUGACAGGUUCUCAGCAAUAGCAAGACUUUUGCCCAUUUUAGCUGGGUAAUGCCUGUUUAGCGUGGGUUCCUCUGUAUCCUUAUCAACAAAGGAGAUUGAUUUAGGCUCUGUUUGAAAAUUGUGUGGAAGUUUAUUUGUUUUUACACCAUUAUAUUUGCUGAACACCAGCUUAUAUGAACUGAUUAACACAGACCGAACAUAGGCGUUAUGGUAAGAAAAUAAAGAUUUUUUGUGAAAAUCAUUAUUAAGCUUAUAUUUCAACUUUGCAAACUGCAUAUGAACAAAUGUCUUCCUUUACUUGUUUUUCUGAAAAUGCCUUUGAACUACUUCCUAAUUCUUAAGGACCAUGUUUUAAAGAUGCUAAGGAAGACAAAAAGGGACUAGGACCGAGCACCAGGAACCUGUGAAGUGAUAGCAUGAAUAGAUGUAAAGAUGCAAACGGUUGAGGAUCAUGGCCAGAAAUCUGAGAUGAUUUGGAGAGUGUGAUUUAAUGAAAACUGAGAAAAAAGUAAUUUAGAUUAAUGGGUAAAAUGUUACUGAGAGGUUAAAUAAGAUAAGGUCUGAUAGAAGUGCACAGGACUGAGGACAGCUCAUUGGAGGUCCUGGCAAGUGCCUGUGUGCGUGCGUGUGUCCGUCUGUGACAGUGGUAGGAGAUACUGGGCCAGAAGCUGGAAAACCCGAGUUAGAGUAGGUGUUAGCGUGCCUGGAAAGGGAACCAAUAAGCACAGUGUGUAGACACACAGUUACAAUUAGUAAGCCUCCACAGGAGAUGAGGCGGAAUCCCCAGAGCACUCAACCGAAAAGAAGAUUGAAAAAAAAAAGAUGAAAAGGGAACAAAGAACAGGGGACAAGUAAAAAGCAAAUAGCAAGAUGAUAAACCUAACCAAUCAAUAAUAAUAAGUAAUACUCCAAACAUCCCAGUUAGAAGGCAGAUUGUCAGAUUGGAUUAAAAAGCAAAAGCCAGCUGUAAAUUGUCUACAGGAAACACACAUGGAAAAUGAAGACACAAGUAGGAUAAAACUAAAUGGAAAGAGAUACACAGUGCUAACUCUAGUUGAGAGAAAGAGUGGUAUUAAUAUUAUAGUAGGUUUCAGUGAUAAUGGUAUUAUUAGUUAUAAAGAAUGCCAUAUCCUAAUGAUAAAGAAGUCAGUUCAUCAGAAACAACUUUAAACAUUUAUACACCCAAUAACAGAGUAUCAAGAUACAUGAAACAAAACUAAUAAAACUGUUAAGGAGAAAUAGACAAAUCCCAUUUUAGUUGGAGAUUUUAAUACUCCUGUCUCAAUAAUUGAUGGGCUAAGUAGUUAGGAAUGAGCAAGGGUAUAGAAGACUUGAACAACAUUAUCAACAUCAGCUUCAGCUGAUCAAUAUUUAUAGACCAUUAAUUACAUCCAACAACUGCUGAAUACACGUUUCUUUUUUAACUACACAGAGAAUAUUUAGCAAUAUAGAUCAUAUAUCUGGGCCAUGAAAGGAGUCUAAAUACAUUUAAAAGAAUUGGGGUCAUAGGUAUGCUGUCUGAGUGAAAUGGAAUUAAAUUAGAAUUCAGUAAACAAAAGAUCUGUAAAAAUCCUCAAGUAUUGGUAAGUAAAUAGUAACCUUACAAAACUCAUUAAUUAAAGAAAUAAGGGAAAAUAGAACAUGAAAACCUAUCAAAUUUGUGGUAUGCUGCUAAGCAGUACUCAGAGGGAAAUUUAUAGUUAUAGAUGCUUAUAUAUAUUAAAAAAAAAAGUCACAAAUCAGUGACCACAGCUUCCUCCUUAAGAAAUGAGAAAAAAAAGAGCAAAUUAAACUAAAGCAGGAACAAAGAUAAAGUUUAGAGUGAAAAUCACAAAAAUGAAACAACAGAGAAAAUGAAACCAGAAGAAAAAAUAGAAAAAGGGAACACAAAUUACCAAUAUUGAGAAUGAGAGAGAUAGUAUCACUACAUAUUCUACAAAUGUGAAAGGAUAGUAAGGGGAUUGUUAUGAACAACUGAAUGUCAAUUAGUGUGAUGACUGAGAUAAAAUUGACAUGUUCUCUCUAAGACACAAAUUACCAAAGCACCCUCAAGAAAUAAAUCACACAAAUAGCCCAGUAUUUACUAAAGAAUUUAAAUUUGUAGAAAAAACUUACCCACAAAGAAAACUGCAAGCACAGUUGCUUGCCAGUGAUUUUUAUAAACAUUUAAGGAAGAAAUAAUACCAAUUUUGCAGACUUUCAGAAAAUUGAAGUUAAGGUAAUACUUCACCACUCAUUCUAUGAAACUGUCACCAUGCCAAUACCAAAACCAAAGAUGCUAUAAGACAACUACAGAUCAACAUCCCUAAUGAAUGUAGACACGAACAUUCUAAAGAAAAUUUUAACAAAUCAGACCUAAUAAUACCUAAGGUCAAUGCAUCAUUACCAAACGGUGUUUAUCCCCCAAAUUCAAGGUUUGUUUAAUAUUUGAAUAGCAAUCACUAUGUGUUAAUCACUCAGUCAUGUCUGACUCUUUGUGACCCAAUGGACUGUGGCCCACCAUGCCCUUCUGUGCCUGGGAUUCUUCAGGCAGAAUAUUGGAGUGGGUAGCCAUUCUCUUCAGGGGAUCUUCCUGACCUGGGAUCAGACCCAGGUCUCCUGCAUUGCAGGCAGAUUCUUUACCAUCUGAGCCAUUAGGGAAGCCCAGCAAUCAGUAUAACUCAUCUGCAAAUACACUAAAAUGAAAAACCAUAUGAUUAUUUCAAUGCAUGCAGAAAUUGCAUUUGACAAAAUCCAGUAUCUAUUCCUGAUACAAGUUCUGAGCUGCCUAGGACCAGAAGAAAAGAUGCUCAGCCUGAGAAGGGGUGUACAGAGAAGGUUAACUGAACAGGCCUGGGCUGCUUAAACUCGGCACAUUCUCAAGAAUGUGCAAUGACCAAUACCUGUUUUCAUGACUGUCCUUUGCUGAACUCCAAGAACUGAACUCUUGGAAUUGGUUAUCUAAUGAGUCUAGUUGCAUGGUCGUGAUCUUCAGCCAUGCUCUAUCAGUGUCCAGAUAGUUUAUACUAGCAGUGUGAUUCAUGAUGAGUUCUAACCUUCUGGAGGUCUGGAACUUUGGCAGCUGAGGUAGGUCACCCACACAGGUGCUAUAUGCUUGCAUGACCAAUACCCAGUAGAAUCCCUGGACACCUAGGCUCAGGUGAAUGUCCUUGGUGGGCAGCACUCUGUUGCCCACAUAGUUUCUGGGAGAAUUAAGUGUCCUGUGUGACUCCAGUGGGAAGGGACACUUGAAAGCUUGAACAUGGUUCCUCUGGACUUCACCCCAUCCAAUUUCCCUGUGGUGUUUAUUUCACUCUGUGUACUUUUACUGUAAUAAACUAUAGCUAUGAAUUGA